GUGUAGCCCUGAUGGUAGCGGCAUCCUCGCAGCGCAGCGGAGAGAUACAGCGCACAGCAGGAGUAUUC
rnacentral:sRNA from 2 species